CCGACGGCCGUGCCCUAGAUCUCGAUCGCCUUCCAGCCUUCCUCUCCUUUUCGAUCCCGUGCGGCCGUGCCCACUGCCCAGCAGCCCAGGUGCCCUGGAUCUUGAGCGCCUUCCUCUCUUUUUCGAUCCCGUGCGAUCGUGCCCAGGUGCCCCGUGCCCUAGAUCUUGAGCUGCGGCGGCGGAGAAGAGUAGACCGCUUCCGUGUGGCCGUGCCCGACUUCCGGCUCUCCAGUCUCCAGUCCGCGGAUCUCCCCCUUGGCCUCUCCCCAUUCUUCAGCGUCCCAAGGACCUUGCUGUACGCCUGUACCAGAUCUUGAGCUGCGGCGGCGGAGAAGAGAAGACAGCUUCUGUGCCCGGUGCGGCGGUGCCCUA